GUAAUAUUUACAUCCAAUUGAGAGAUGAAGACGACACUCUUUAUGAGUAGAAUGAGCCGUUUUUAUCUACAAACACCACAGGUCUCCUAAAGGGGGUUGCACACUGGACAAGAAACGCCGUGUUGCAUCUAUGACAACUCUGAGAGCACUCCAGUGUGACUACAGGGUGAGCUGCCAGGUUGCUGGGCCUAGCCAGCUUCCAAUCGUUGAGGGAAAGAUAAAUUCCCAAGUAUAUCAGACAAUUCUUCAGGAUAAUGUGAGAAUGUCUGUACGUCAGCUGAAACUGUGUAGAAGGUGGGUGAUGCAACAGGACAACGACCCAAAACACAGAAGCAAGUCCACAACAGAAUGGCUUCACAAAAAAAAUCUGCCUUUUGUAAUGACCAAGUCAAAGCCCAACCUCAACCCAAUAGAGAUGCUGUGGAUUGACUUGAAGAGGGCCAUACACAUGAAACGUCCAAAGAAUAUGUCAGAGCUAAAGUAGUUCUGCCUGGAAGAAUGGGCUAAAAUUCCAGGUGCCGGUCUGAUCCACAGCUACAGGAAGCGCCUGGUGAGGUUGUUGCUGCUGGUAGGGGGUGGUGGUCAACCAGUUAUUAAUUCUAAUUGUUCACUUACCUUUCCACUGCCAUUUUCAAUGUUGAAUGAGUGUGUUCAAUAAAGACAUGAACUAAUUUUUGUGUCAUUAUUUUUUAGACACAUUAUGUUUGUCAAUACCCUAAUCUUAGAUAAAGAUAACAUUUUAUGACAAAUUUAUUGAGAAAACCAUGAAAUUCCAAGAGGUUUACAUACUUUUUCUUUCCACUGUAUCUUAUUAAAUUAUAUGAAAUACACUAAAUUAAAGAGAACUAAACAUUAUAUAUACAGGUACACUACACAAGAGAACAAAAGUGAAUGUGUUCAAACUCAGACACAGAACAAAGCACACUUACGUGGGACAUCAUUUUAGUUUUCAUUUUAGUAUGUGCAGUGUAUAAGAUUGAAGGUCUAUGAGAUUUAGUAUAUGUGAUUUUAUGAGUGCAAGUGGUCUGUGGUCAGUCCAGUCACAGGGUACUGAUGAGUCUGAUGGCUUGGAAGAAGAAGCUGUCAUGCAAUCUGACCAUGUGGGCCCAAAUAUUUCUGUUAUUACCUCCUGCCAGGUACUGUCAGAGUAAAUAGUGCUCUCUUGACAAUAUCUAAUAAGGAGCCAUUAAUGUUCAACAGAGAGUUGCUGUUAUGUCCUCUCAAGUCAGCAGUUAUCUCUUUCAUCCAUAUUUAGAGACAUGUUGUUGAUUUUGCACCCCUCCAUUAACACUUCUUUUUGUAUUCUAACAUUUACUGAUAAGACCCAGCACUGUUGUGUUUUUGGUGUAUUGCCAGGUUUGGUUCAAAAUGUGCAUUGUUGUACAGUUGUGAGUCAACAAAGUGAAUAGCAAUGGACUGAGAACGCAGCCCUGUGGGGCCCCGUGCUUAAUGCGGUCGUUCUGGAGAAACUGUUUCUGAUUCGGACUUCUGUUCAGACCCAUGCAGGGUUGCUUACAAUUAGUCAUGUAAGAUAGACAUGUGAUUUAUUUAACCCACAACAAUCAAGAUGGCGUCCUAUGUUCUACAUUGUUACAUUAUUGUGCCUGAUUUCUGCUUUGAUAUUAUUUUAUAUGUAAA